rnacentral:rRNA from 1 species
UACGGGAGGCAGCAGUGGGGAAUAUUGCACAAUGAGCGAAAGCCUGAUGCAGCUAUGCCGCGUGUAUGAAGAAGGCCUUAGGGUUGUAAAGUACUUUCAUCGGGGAGGAAAAAACAAAACUAAUAAUUUUAUUUCUUGACGUUACCCGAAAAAGAAGCACCGGCUAACUCCGUGCCAGCAGCCGCGGUAAUACGGAGGGUGCUAGCGUUAAUCAGAAUUACUGGGCGUAAAGAGCACGUAGGUGGUUUUUUUAAGUCAGAUGUGAAAUCCCUGGGCUUAACCUGGAACUGCAUUUUGAAACUGAAAUACUAGAGUAUCGUAGAGGGAGGUAGAAUUCUAGGUGUAGCGGUGAAAUGCGUAGAUAUCUGGAGGAAUACCUGUGGCGAAAGCGGCCUCCUAAACGAAUACUGACACUGAGGUGCGAAAGCGUGGGGAGCAAACAGGGAUUAGAUACC